rnacentral:rRNA from 1 species
UACGGAGGGGGCUAGCGUUGUUCGGAAUUACUGGGCGUAAAGCGCACGUAGGCGGCUUUGUAAGUUAGAGGUGAAAGCCCGGAGCUCAACUCCAGAACUGCCUUCGAUACUGGGAGACUUGAGUUCGGGAGAGGUGAGUGGAACUGCGAGUGUAGAGGUGAAAUUCGUAGAUAUUCGCAAGAACACCAGUGGCGAAGGCGGCUCACUGGCCCGGUACUGACGCUGAGGUGCGAAAGCGUGGGGAGCAAACAGG